rnacentral:rRNA from 1 species
GUGGAGUUGCGAAGACAACCAGGAGGUUGGCUUAGAAGCAGCCACCCUUGAAAGAGUGCGUAAUAGCUGACUGGUCAAGUGAUUCCGCGCCGACAAUGUAACGGGGCUCAAGCACACCACCGAAGUUGUAGAUUUCGUAUUAUAGACAAGCCUUCGUGGUUCAGUCGUACGGAGUGGUAGGAGAGCGUCGUGUGGCCAGUGAAGCGGCGGUGUAAACCAGCCGUGGAGGCCACACGAGUGAGAAUGCAGGCAUGAGUAGCGAAAGACGGGUGAGAAACCCGUCCUCCGAAAGACCAAGGGUUCCAGGGCCAGGUUAAUCCGCCCUGGGUAAGUCGGGACCUAAGGCGAGGCCGACAGGCGUAGUCGAUGGACAACGGGUUGAUAUUCCCGUACCGGCGAAGAACCGCCCAUACUGAGCGAUUGAUGCUAACCAGUGUUGAGCAUGACUGUUGCGGCCUUCGGGUUGUUUGUUGUGUGAGGUGUUGGGAACCGAUGUUGUGAGGUCAGCGUAUUAACAGGUGUGACGCAGGAAGGUAGCCGAGCCAGGCAAUGGAAUUGACCUGGUCCAAGGGUGUAGGGCGAGUCAUAGGCAAAUCCGUGACUCAUAUAGCCUGAGACCUGAUAGGCGCCCACUUUGGUGGGUGAUUUGGUGAUCCUAUGCUGCCUAGAAAAGCAUCGGCGCGAGGUUCUAGUCGCCCGUACCCCAAACCGACACAGGUGAUCAGGUAGAGAAUACUAAGGCGAUCGAGAGAAUCAUGGUUAAGGAACUCGGCAAAAUGCCCCCGUAACUUCGGAAGAAGGGGGGCCUGCCCCGUGGAGAAGACUUGCUCUUCUUUUGCGGGUGUGGGCCGCAGAGACCAGGGGGAAGCGACUGUUUACUAAAAACACAGGUCCGUGCGAAGUCGCAAGACGAUGUAUACGGACUGACUCCUGCCCGGUGCUGGAAGGUUAAGAGGACCGGUUAGCAACUUGUUGCGAAGCUGAGAAUUUAAGCCCCAGUAAACGGCGGUGGUAACUAUAACCAUCCUAAGGUAGCGAAAUUCCUUGUCGGGUAAGUUCCG